rnacentral:rRNA from 1 species
UAGGGAAUCUUCGGCAAUGGACGAAAGUCUGACCGAGCAACGCCGCGUGAGUGAAGAAGGUUUUCGGAUCGUAAAACUCUGUUGUUAGAGAAGAACAAGGACGUUAGUAACUGAACGUCCCCUGACGGUAUCUAACUAGAAAGCCACGGCUAACUACGUGCCAGCAGCCGCGGUAAUACGUAGGUGGCAAGCGUUGUCCGGAUUUAUUGGGCGUAAAGCGAGCGCAGGCGGUUUCUUAAGUCUGAUGUGAAAGCCCCCGGCUCAACCGGGGAGGGUCAUUGGAAACUGGGAGACUUGAGUGCAGAAGAGGAGAGUGGAAUUCCACGUGUAGCGGUGAAAUGCGUAGAUAUAUGGAGGAACACCAGUGGCGAAGGCGGCUCUCUGGUCUGUAACUGACGCUGAGGCUCGAAAGCGUGGGGAGCAAACAGG